ACACUGAUGGUGAAGCGGUUAUCAUGCUUGCCUUCCAUUCCGGGUUACGUAAUCCAAUUAGCAAGCGGCAGGGGUUCGACUCCCCUUCAGUGUA